rnacentral:rRNA from 1 species
AUGGGGUGCAGCAGGGGCGAAACCUUUACAAUGCACGCAAGUGUGAUAAGGUUACCCAAAGUGUCAUUGAUGCAAAAGCAAUUUGACUGUUGGAUGUGUUUAAUGGGCCAUCCGAGGAAGGAGAGGGCAAGGCUGGUGCCAGCCGCCGCGGUAACACCAGCUCUUCAAGUGGUUGGGACUUUUAUUGGGCUUAAAGCGUCCGUAGCCUGUUUGAUAAGUUCCUGGUUAAAUCCGGCAGCUUAACUGUUGGACUGCUAGGAAUACUGUCUUACUAGAGGGCGGGAAAGGUCAGGGGUACUCCGGGGGGAGCGGUGAAAUGUGAUAAUCCUCGGGGGACCACCAGUGGCGAAGGCGCCUGACUGGAACGCGCCUGACGGUGAGGGACGAAAGGUAGGGGAACGAACGGGAUUAGAUACCCCGGUAGUCCUACCCGUAAACGAUGCGCUCUAGAUGUCGGUUCUGCUCUGAGCAGUGCCGGUGCCACAGGGAAACCGUUAAGAGCGCCGCCUGGGAAGUACGCUCGCAAGAGUGAAACUUAAAGGAAUUGGCGGGGGAGCAC